rfam:Ovis aries breed Texel unplaced genomic scaffold TnplacedScaffold_004085445.1, whole genome shotgun sequence.
UCCUUAGUGGUCCAGUGGCUAAGACUCUUCUCUCUCAAUGCAGGUGGUCCAGGUUCAAUCCCUGGUCAGGGAA